UACGAAGGGGGCUAGCGUUGCUCGGAAUCACUGGGCGUAAAGGGCGCGUAGGCGGACUUUUAAGUCAGGGGGUGAAAAUCCUGAGGCUCACGCCUACAGAACUGCCUUUUGAUACUGAGGGUCUCGAGACCGGUAGAGGUAAGUGGAACUGCGAGUGUAGAGGUGAAAUUCGUAGAUAUUCGCAAGAGCACCAGUGGCGGAAGGCGGCUUACCGUGGACCGGUUCUGACGGCUGAGGCG
rnacentral:rRNA from 1 species